CACGGGGUUGCGAGCGUUGUCCGGAAUUACUAGGCGUAAAGGGCAGGCAGGCGGAUCCAUAAGUUUAUCGUUUAAGGCGUCGGCUUAACCGGCGUAGGGCGGUAGAUACUGUGGAUCUGGAAUGCGGUUGGGGAAGACAGAAUUCCUGGUGUAGCGGUGGAAUGCGCAGAGAUCAGGAGGAAUACCGAAGGCGAAGGCAGUCUUCCAAGCCGUUAUUGACGCUCAACUGCGAAGGUGUGGGUAUCAAACAGGAUUAGAUACCCCGGUAGUCCAUGA
rnacentral:rRNA from 1 species